UUGACUGUUGGUUGCCAUGGAAGAUAUAUGUUAUGGUUUCCUGUGUUCAUUUCAUUGGUAAAGUUUUUCUUUGCUGCUGAGUGAAAUAAAGAAAGAGUGCAGCAUAAUACUUGCCUCCGUGUCGCUAAUCAAAUUAUGACUUUACAUCAUGUAAAUAGUAAAAUCUGGUAAUUGUUGGGAAUUUCAAAUGUAAGGUUAAAAUAGCUGAACUGAAAAAAGUCAGCAAUGCUUUCGG